UCUUAAAAGAUCCCCUAUGAUAUUCAACUCCAUCAGGAAUGAUAAAGAACGUGUCCCAAAGAACAAGAGGUCAGGUGUGUAUACUAUUUCUCUGUAUAAUGAAGAUGAAGAUAGACAGCAAUAUUAUGUGGGGAGUACUGGUCGAAGCCUGGAAAAGCAGGUUAAAGAACACCAUGCAGAUAUUCUAGCGGAUAGGAUGACCACGGCUCUAGCGUGCAAGACUUAUGAGCAAGUUAUAACUAUUGACUGGAAAGGAGUAUAGCUUGCCAAACCUUCCCAAGACUAUUUAGGACUCACCACCCUGGAAGCCAUGCACUUACUGAAAAUGAGGCACAUCCAUUAUGUGAUCAAUGAUAAGGACCCUCUUCUACUUCCUCAAGCUUGGAGAUGGUGUGUGGAAAACAAUCUAUAGAUGGGUUAGAGGUUAUUCUGCUAAUAUGAGGUUCCAGUCUAAUGUUACUUACUCUACCUAUUUUUGAUGAAUACUACACGUGUCUCUACCUGAGUGAAGAUACCCCUUUCCCCAUCCCUGUCUAAAGGAUGCGCUGCUCUCACUCUCUUAGAUUAUCGAUACUGAC
rnacentral:lncRNA from 1 species